AAAACCUAGAUUUCAAAUUGCAACUCCAGUAGAAGAAAUCACCACUCAAAGGUAAGCAUUUACUUGAAAAAUUCAAUUCACAAUUUAGGUGAAGCUCACCGUGCGAGGAGGCCAAAAGGAGGUCUCCGCCUACAUACACGAAGGAGCACCCUAGAAAGCCUUCGUGUAUGGGGGCCACUGGCCCCCAUGCAUGGGGCAAAACGGAGGGCGUGCACGGGGGGGCCAUAUGCCCUGCAUGGAGGCUAUUUCAUGGAGGGCUAUUUCUUCCGUGGCCCUUCGUACACAGAGGCUUUACUAACUUAUUUUUUUAAUCUAAAAAAUGUUGCCCUUUUAUUUUUUUUAUAAAUUUAUUUUUAAAACUCGUAAAUGAUAUGAUUGCACUCAUUUGAG
rnacentral:lncRNA from 1 species